rnacentral:rRNA from 1 species
GAUGAACGCUGGCGGCGUGCCUAAUACAUGCAAGUCGAGCGAACAGACGAGGAGCUUGCUCCUCUGACGUUAGCGGCGGACGGGUGAGUAACACGUGGAUAACCUACCUAUAAGACUGGGAUAACUUCGGGAAACCGGAGCUAAUACCGGAUAAUAUAUUGAACCGCAUGGUUCAAUAGUGAAAGACGGUUUUGCUGUCACUUAUAGAUGGAUCCGCGCCGCAUUAGCUAGUUGGUAAGGUAACGGCUUACCAAGGCAACGAUGCGUAGCCGACCUGAGAGGGUGAUCGGCCACACUGGAACUGAGACACGGUCCAGACUACUACGGGAGGCAGCAGUAGGGAAUCUUCCGCAAUGGGCGAAAGCGUGACGGAGCAACGCCGCGUGAGUGAUGAAGGUCUUCGGAUCGUAAAACUCUGUUAUUAGGGAAGAACAAAUGUGUAAGUAACUAUGCACGUCUUGACGGUACCUAAUCAGAAAGCCACGGCUAACUACGUG